CAUUGCAAACAUUAGCCAAUAAUGGUCAUCUAUCGGUCAUUGGUACAUAAGCAAAGGCACGAUAUGUAUUGGUCCCUAAACAUAAAUCCAUGUGUCGAGAUCAAAUUUGCAGGACUCACAAAUUCACGUACAAAGAAUAUUAACACUUAAAGUUGGAUAAAGUGUUUGAAACAAAAAAUGGACAUGUUAUUAUAUGUUUAUUGAAUUCGGCAUGGUUUUACACUGUGGUGACAAUAUUUAAGUUUUUCAUGACAGGGGUGUGUACUAAUACCAAUUUUUUUCUAUUUGUAAUAAGAGAGAUAGAUGGUCGUGGCCAUAUUAGGGCUAUAUUUACCUACCUCCUUAAAAUGAAAAACUAUCAAAAGAUAAAGUAAAAAUCUUCAAUGUUUGUUUUAUAUUUAUGGGCAAAUAUAUCAUGUGUCAAAGCUUAAGGAACAUCUGAUGAUUAAUAAUCGAACAUGUUCAACGUUCUCAUUUUUAUUCUUUUGGACUUUUUCUCUUACUUUAAGGCUUUAUAGGAAUUAUGUAGAAAAUGAAAUAAUUUCUUGACAUUCUAUAUUGAAUCACGGAAAAAGUAAUACCAAAACCUAUAUAUUUAGACUGACAUCAUUUAAAGACAUCAUUCUAAAGAGGAGGCCAAGAGCUUGUUUAAUGCCGUUUUUAAGAGACUCCACGCAUUCAUAACAUAUUUAUUAGUCAAAAUAAAAAUGGACAACACUCUGAAAAGUGUGACUUAUUUACUUUGUAUAUCAUAGAAAAUAACAGCUUAAAACAUGGUCUUUCAUUGUGUUUACCGAAAAUUUUUGUCCAGUUAUAUACUCAAACAAAGCUAUUGUUGUGAAGCAUCAUCGAAGAAAUUUGUCUCUUCAAACAUUUACGAGAUCUUGAUCAUAAGUUACUAUCGCAUGUUGUCUUUUCAGAUUUUCUUCACCUGUUCUAUCAUUUUAAUAUCAUCUUUAGUUUCUAUUGUCAACUUUUCAGCUUAGGGAGUGGGCUGAAAUAGUCAAGUACCUACGAUGUACCAUCCAAUCCUUCUUUUUGAAGAUAAUUAAAAUAUUAGAUAUUGUUUUAACUAUGUGUUUACAUAAACUCGUGUAUAUCAAAGAUAUUCAGCAUUCUACUACUAAUUGUAAAUAGCGAUGUUCGAUAUAAAAUGAAACAAAUAAAUCACCCUUUCCAGCAUACUACCGUACGAGUUCACAGUAAGUGUGUUCAAUUAGUAACCUGUUUUAUAAUUGGGGUCAUGUUUUUAAUACUGUAUCAGUUUAAUCACUUCUCCCUGAACAAAUUACCCCUCAGAUCUCCUAUUUCUGUCGUUGCUAGCGUUUCAAUUACGUUAGAAGAAAGAGGUCCGUCUUGUACGCGUGUAGGAGAAAGAUUCGUCCAAUAAUUCACAAGAGGGCGGCUACCGAACCGUCAUAAAUUCCACUCGACAGAAUGGACAGAUUCAGAAAGAACAAGAUCGUGAAUACGGUACAAGCAUUUAGAAAAAACAGAAGGCUAAAAAGACAAUGUACAGACUAAAUUUUCAUCAAAUUCGGACUUUAGCACCAGCACUGUUUUUAGUUCUUAUGUUUUGUUCUUGCGCAGUAAGCGCAUCACGUGACGACUAUCAGACUGAGCCUACAGAGCGGGAGAUUAACGGAGAACUUGCUUACAUUCUUUCCAAUAUUCGUCAGAAAUUACGAAGCACCGAUUCAGAUUCAUACCCAGUUUUAUUGCAACCUUCAUCAAUAAAUGCAAAGAGAUCGAGAUUCGGAAACCCUUCAACGAAGAAGCGCGGAGGCAUCUGGAUCUGGAUGCCAGCACAAGGAUACGUGUCAGUACCACGUGACGAGGUCGGUGGAGCCAGCAAUAAAGGUUCCUCUUCAAAUCUUUUACGAUAUGGCUAAAGACAUUGCUGUCUUUACGGAACUAUGCCAACCAGCUUGACAAGCAUUUGUUUAUUUUUUCAAAAUAAAGCAGCUAAAUAUUA